ensembl:snoRNA
CUCUAUGUGCCUUUGGGACCUCUCAGCUGUGACCGUCACCUUCCUAGCCAUGGAACAGCAUAUUCUUGUUUAUUGGCAAAGCUGUAACCACUUAACUGGCAUCAGAGUUUGAUAUUCUUUGGUGUUU